rnacentral:rRNA from 1 species
GGGGAAUCUUCCGCAAUGGGCGCAAGCCUGACGGAGCAACGCCGCGUGAGUGAAGAAGGUCUUCGGAUCGUAAAGCUCUGUUGAUGGGGACGAACGUGCCUAAUGCGAAUAGUUUUAGGUAAUGACGGUACCCAUCGAGGAAGCCACGGCUAACUACGUGCCAGCAGCCGCGGUAAUACGUAGGUGGCGAGCGUUGUCCGGAAUCAUUGGGCGUAAAGGGAGCGCAGGCGGGCAUGUAAGUCUUUCUUAAAAGUGCGGGGCUCAACCCCGUGAUGGGAAAGAAACUAUGUGUCUUGAGUACAGGAGAGGAAAGCGGAAUUCCCAGUGUAGCGGUGAAAUGCGUAGAUAUUGGGAGGAACACCAGUGGCGAAGGCGGCUUUCUGGACUGCAACUGACGCUGAGGCUCGAAAGCCAGGGGAGCGAACGGGAUUAGAUACCCCGGUAGUCCUGGCCGUAAACGAUGGAUACUAGGUGUGGGAGGUAUCGACCCCUACCGUGCCGGAGUUAACGCAAUAAGUAUCCCGCCUGGGGAGUACGGCCGCAAGGCUG